rnacentral:rRNA from 1 species
GAUCAUGGCUCAGGAUGAACGCUAGCUACAGGCUUAACACAUGCAAGUCGAGGGGCAGCAUGAACUUAGCUUGCUAAGUUUGAUGGCGACCGGCGCACGGGUGAGUAACACGUAUCCAACCUGCCGAUGACUCGGGGAUAGCCUUUCGAAAGAAAGAUUAAUACCCGAUGGCAUAGUUCUUCCGCAUGGUGGAACUAUUAAAGAAUUUCGGUCAUCGAUGGGGAUGCGUUCCAUUUAGG